AUGAAAAAUCCUCUGAAGGGAUGGUCACGUAGCUGGAGGUCUAGAAUCUGGUGUUCUCGCAGCUUUGAGAAGAUAGGAACCAGUGAGAUAACAGGAUGCCAUUUGGGCAAUUUGGUCAGUCUCAACGAUCACUGUGAUUUAUUCUUUGUUUGCGAGGUCGACAUAACGAGCCAUCUUAUCAGUGAGACCCCAUGUGGACCCGAUCAGAAACAACCCACUCCAGUAUUCUUGCCUGGGAAAUCCCAUGAACAGAAAAGCCUCGAGCGCUACACUUCACGGGGUUGCAAGAGACUUGGACAUGACCGAGCAGCUAAGCACGCACAAGCACAGCUAGGAGUGGCUUUCAGUCCAGGAGCAGGAAGCUCAUGGAAGACUGGCUGGGUGCCGUGUGGUUUGCACGCUCCUGGUUUUAGGGCUUUGGACCUGAGCUGAAUUACACCGUGGGCUUUCCUCAUUCUCCAGCUUGCAGACAUCAGACUGUGAGACUUCCUGACCUCUGUAAGCAUGGGAGCCAGUUCCUAGAAUAAAUCUCCCCUCCUCUCUCCCUCUCUCUCUGUUCGUAUGUAUAUCUCUUGGUUUAUUCUCCAGAGAACCCCAGUGAUUAUGUGAGCUGUACACUCACUCCAGGCUAGAGAUGAAAUCUAGCAAAUGGAAUCUAAAAUGCUGGUCUUUUAAUGAUCUUCAGAGAUGACGUGGCUGAACCCAUUAGUGGGGAGUAGAGGAGGGUGAGGAGAAAUAACAUGGACCUGAGCUCAUCUGGACUAGAGCUGAUUGGAGCCUGAGUUUCCGAAGCACCACAGACCUGACCCCAGCGCCUGUGACGCCCGUCCCUCCAGGACCCACAUGACUGACAUCGCCACUUGGUGCAGGUGCCAACAAAGGAUGCGGGCAUCACCUGCGGGGGGUCAUCGUCACGCUGGUGUUUCCAGGGCCAGAGUUAGCAAAUGCCACGGUGAUAAUGUGCUGAUGGCUGCUUCCCCACGCCCCUGGCUUCAGGUUGGAGUGUGGGGCCAAGAGAAACAAACAAUUUGUUAGGAGCCAGGGAGAUGGCUGGGCAGGAAUGAGCUAUCUGUAAGCUGCCUUUGGUCUCUUCCCAGCUGGUCCCCCUCUUUUUAGUUGAUCAAUUAUUUAAACAAUUUACUUGGCUGCACCGGUCUUAGUUGGGGCAUGCAGGAUCUUUGGCUGUGGCAUGUGAACUCUUAGUUUGGCAUAGGGGAUCCAGUUCCCUGAUCAGGUCUCAAACCCAGGCCCCCUGCAUUGGAACCACAGAGCCUUAGCCGCUGGACUGUGAGGGAAGUCUCUGGGUGCCCAUUGGAAAUAGGUGGGUAAUGGGCUUGGCCUCCCUGGAGUCCCUGGCUCCUGCAGUGGUCCCUGCAUGGAAGGCACUUCAGUGGUCUCCGGGGGGAGGGGUCUUCCCAGGGGUCCCAGGAGCAGCACUGUGAGGUGCACAGGCGUGCCUCUGUGUGUCCCUUGACCUUCCCUGGUGUGAGGCAAGGCAAGGAGAGGAAAGACAGGCUUAGGCUUUGGGAGCUGGAAUUUGCCCCUGGCCUUUAGUUGGUGUGUGAAGUCAUUGGGCUUUGAUAAGCCUUGGUUUUGUCCUCUGUGUCGCCUGAGAAAUGGGGAUGGUAUUUGCCGGAGGUCUGAAGUCAAGACAUCAGCAGGGUUCAUCUCUCCUGAUACUACUCUCCUUGGCUUGGAGGUGGCUGCCGUCUCUCCCUGCCUCGACUUGGUUUCUCCUCUGUGCUUGAGGACCACUGGGGUCUCUCUGUGUUCAAAUUCCACCUUCUUUACACAGGUCAGAUUGGAUUAGGGCUCACCUGUAGACCUGACUUCAUUUUAACUUCUUUUAAGUUAAAGAAGUUAGCUUUAAAGACUGUCUCCAAACACAGUCAGAGGUCAUGGGGCUUAGGGUUUUGACAUAUGAAUGUUGCGGCGGGGGCUGGAAUUCAGUCCAUAGGGCUUCCCUGGUAGCUCAGCUGCCAGUGCAGGAAACACAAGAUUUGACCUCUGGGUUGGGAACAUCCUUUGGAGAAAGAAAUGGCAGUAUACAGCUCCAGUAUUCCUGCCUGGAAAAUUCCAUGGAUAGAGAAGCCCGGCAGGCUAUAGCUCACGAGGUCACAAAGAUAAGGCUGUCCCACACAAAUCACAAAGCCAAGCAUAGUCCUGGGCCUGAAGAUCCUGCGACACUCCCGGUGAGGGAGGUGGGCCUGGCUUGGCAGGCUGGUCAGAUACCAGGCUGCACAGUAACAUUCUCACACUGCAGGUCUCCCUGCUCAAGCUGAAGCUGGGAUGCAUCUGAGCACUGAGGCCCGGGUCCCAAAUGCACAGUCAAGUUGUACAAUGACUGAAGCCCAGCUGGAAAGCCAUCUCCAUACCUAAACUGUACAGAAUUUGGAGGGCAAAGAAAAUCUUGUAACUUAACAAGAAAACAAAACAGUUUCUCCUUUAUGUUUGGUGAUGUUAGAGGGAAAUUUUCUUUUUUGUUCAAGCUAAAGCCUGGCUUGGAGAAUUUGAGCAUUAGUUUUACUAGCAUGUGAGAUGAGUGCA
rnacentral:lncRNA from 1 species